rnacentral:snoRNA from 1 species
CGAUUUGUAUGAUGAUUCCACUUUAUAUGCAUAGUUCAACUGAUUUACUAGAUCAUGAAGAGAACAAUAACCAUCAUGUCUUUCACCCCUAUCUGACUCAAAAUG